UACCGCCCACUGAUCCAGUGUCCAGAGCCGCGGGGUUGGCUUCGCUGGUCCGGCGGGCUGCAGCCCAGGCUCCUCCGGAGUGCACCUGCCCGGGGCGGUUUGUGCAGUGUGUACGCUUGAGUGUGCAUUCAUUUACCUGUGUACCACCUGUAAAUACCGGCUUGACUCGUUCUGCGGUAUCUAUUAACGCUAUGAUGAGCUGAAGGCUGCUGGCCAGGGGACUCAGAUCAGAGAGGAACCACAGGACUUCGGCUCGGCGGGAACUUAGGGGGAGCUGGGGUUGUGCAAAACGCCGGGGCGCUGGGGGCCGGGCGGGCUGGUGCUGCCGCUAGGAGGAUGCGGGGCGGGCGGUACCGAGCGCGCUGCCGAGUGACAGGCGCUGGAAGUCCCACAAGGGAAACGAACCACUCGGUGAAAACUGACGCGGGCAAAGCCUGAGGCUCGGCCGCGGCGAAGGCUGUGUUGUCAUGGCAACCACAUGCUUAGGCUGCCGCGGGAUACUUGAUAACUAAGAAAAAACAAGGGUGAAAACCUCAAUACUUCGCCUUGGACAGAUAGAAGAAAGCCGAGGGCAGAAAUGAUGGAAACAAAGAAACCCACAGAUAGGGAAAAAGAAGGUCCAUGAUCAGGAGUCCUUCUUGCCCUUAAGAAAGUAGUUUUUCUCGGAGCUCCCUUAUAUACACAAAACAACCAGUGGUAUCUACCCUGUUAGGAUGAGGGAGGUAGGGGCACACUUCACGGCCCCCACCUUCCUCCUUCCCCCGCCCAUUUGCUAGCGGGUUUCACCGACUAAAUCCCUCUCCCUGAACGAAUGUCCGGCUCUACAGAGGUCUCUGCACUCCAGAGAGGCCCAGGACGGUGGACCUUUGGGGCUUGUACUGGUUAGUUGUUUUUUUCAAGCUCCGUUCUCGUCCUGGGACUGUCACCAAAAGGCCCUGUGACAUUAGGCAACUCCCUUACACUUUUGAGGUCCCUGGUCCUGUAGCAAGAAAGGAAAAGGGCUGGACUCGGAUCAGGAUUUCAUAACGGGGCUCCCUGAUGGGUCCCUGGCGACCUGUGAACCCAGAAGAUUGUGUCGUUUUAUGUUUGGGAGUCACUCCGCACACAAGACGCAUCUCAAAAGGUAAAACUGAUACCGUGAUAAUAUGGAUUCAAUGUUUUUCAGGCGACUUGCUCGCUGUCCAUUCCGGCAGAUGCCCGGGGGCUCUUUCUAGCUCCCUACAGGAGAAGUGUUACACACGGGGACAGCUCUGGAGUCCAGCGCCUGAGCCCCGAGCCUGCCUCUGACACAUAGCCACCUAUAAACCUCAGGGAAGGCCCACAGGGACUCUGGGGCCCAGUUACCCACCUGAAAAGCAGCAUGGUGUUAAAGUAACUUCUUCAGUGAGAACAUUACAAGAUGUAAAGCAUGGGACAGGUAUCAGCGAGCUCAUUGCUGGCCAUCAAGUUCACACAGACGAAGCCCUGCGGAGCAGCACCAGGUUCCGUAAGGAGUAAGAGCUACCUUCACCGGUGGUCCACUAUCGGGCAGGCUCUGUGCCAGGGAUGACUUCUCUCUUCUGAUCCUUUUGCAUCUCAGCCCCACAGAAUUAGAUCCAAAUCCAACCUCCUUUCUUUUAUUGUAGUUCUUUUUUCAUUUUACGCCAUCUAAAAUCCCCGUUUUCACCACACCGUAUUUAGUGUCUUUUUUUCAAUCCACCUCCCCAGAACAGUGCUCGGGCUGUCUUCCCAGAUGGCCAUGUGGGUCUUCGCUGAGGUGCUGCUGUGUAGUCCAUCUCGCCCCGUCUCCUUCAUCUAACUUAGGCUUUUUCCAUCACUUGGCCAUGGGGCUCUAUGUCAGUGUCCACUCCUUUUACCCACGGUCACAUGCUUUUCCACUUUCUACCUGCACCACUUUUCAGCAAACCCCUGAGAGGCAGUUACUGCUCUUGGCAUUUGUCAGAUGAGGAGAUAAGGCGAAGGAAGGUAAAUGACCUGCCAAGGGCACUCAGCUAGAGAAUCCUGAAUAUAACCUACGUAUCUCUGAUUCCAGUGCGCCUGUCUUCGGACUCCAUAAAACAGAUUUAAUUACUUAAGAUUUACGAAAUUAUGUUAAAAUUAGAAGAUAUAUGUAUUUAACUGAAGCUAGAAGCCCGUUGUUUCCUUGAAAAGCAACGUGUACUAUUUUGUCUCAAAAAACACAUUUUUCAUAAACCCAAGUUUAAUAUCGUUA